rnacentral:rRNA from 1 species
UAAGGAAUAUUGGUCAAUGGAGGCAACUCUGAACCAGCCAUGCCGCGUGAAGGAUUAAGGCCCUCUGGGUUGUAAACUUCUUUUAUAUGGGAAGAAAUGUUCUGAUUCUUCAGAGCUUGACGGUACCAUAGGAAUAAGCACCGGCUAACUCCGUGCCAGCAGCCGCGGUAAUACGGAGGGUGCAAGCGUUAUCCGGAUUCACUGGGUUUAAAGGGUGCGUAGGUGGGCAGAUAAGUCAGUGGUGAAAUCUUCCGGCUUAACCGGAAAAUUGCCGUUGAUACUAUUUGUCUUGAAUAUUGUGGAGGUAAGCGGAAUAUGUCAUGUAGCGGUGAAAUGCUUAGAUAUGACAUAGAACACCAAUUGCGAGGGCAGCUUACUAUAUAAUUAUUGACACUGAGGCACGAAAGCGUGGGUAGCGAACA